UCAAGUGGCUCAGUGCUGAGGCUGCUGGUUCUGUGCUCCAGCCACACCACAGUGGAGCAACUUCUGCCACCCACUUCCUAAACAACAACAACAGGACAGAAGCAAGUAAGCUCCCACCUUCCUUGUUCAUAGCUUGUUUGAGAACAGCACCGCUGUUUUCCCUCAUCACUGACUGCUUGGCCUGACUGACCCAACACCAAGCCUUUGGGUAAUUCUGCUCGCUCCUUACACAAGGAUGUAUUGUCAAGUGGCCUGCAGCCUGGGCUUCCACAGACCUGGGAGUACCAUCCCUGUUUUCAAGCCUUGACCAAAGGCAGUCCAACGAAUGGUCCGAGGACUGCAGCAGUACCGCAGUAGCAGUCUUGAGUAGAAUGACCUCAAUUCAGCUGGAUGACAGGUCACAGGACCCGGACCCAGAGAAGAGCAAGAGAUGCACUGUAUCACUGAGACUGAAGUCUCAUGGAAGGGCUGCGCUGCUUUUCUCAACAUGGAUAAGAGCUUAGCAAUUACCUUGUAGUCUCCCCUGACUAGUCGGACGAGCACCCCAGGACAGGACCGCGCCGCACGUCAUUAUGAAGGUGAGCUACUGUAGUAACAUCUGUCAUGAUUGAGGGAGGCCACACAAACAAGGCAGGUUUUUAAAAAGCUAGAAAGAUACACGCAGCACUCCGAAAUAAAUCACCACAGCGUCAUCCGAGCUCUGUUCAGUGAAGAAAGCGGAUGGCUGUGAAGGCAGCCUUGAUGGACUGAUUCACAGACCUGGGAGACGCCGACUGAAAGACUUCAGGUCUUUUACAAGAAGGCUUAGGCCCACGAUCACGGGACGACAAUUAGGACACUCAAGACACUCAAAGGCCUCCUGUUAGCUAAAAGGACAAUGUUGAAUUGUGCCAUCACACACUGCUGGCACAUUGUAGUUGGGCUGCAAAGAUCAUCUGAUAACAAUGAGGGUGAUGUAAGGCUUGUUUCAGACAGACAGCGACUCCGCACACAGGCAGUAAGUGGAUUGGAGUAUUGAACACCAGGCCAGAGCAGCGAUGGAACUAUGGCCCGAGCACGUGCCAUUGACUGAGGAAUUGCCAGCACAGUCCAUUAAUAGUGAGGAUUCCAGACGUCACUAAUGACUGUAAAGCCAUUCAAAGCAUGUUUGAGUAGCCACUGAGAAGAGUGAAUAACCUGUGAUGUAAAUAAGGAACAGGAGCAGUGAGGAAGCGGCAGAAGAAGAUGUGAUCGUAAACAGGUGACUCAUUAGAGCAGCCACACCGUAGAUCCUUCAAACUACUGGUGCUGAACAACAGCGGGAAGGUCACAGCUCUUGAUCAGGGGCAGUUGAAGCUCACCUGCAAACUGUCCCACUGCACAGUUCUUCUUCGUCUUCACAAAGCCUCUAACUCCCUAUAACCAGUCGAGUCUGACUACAUCCUCUGGCCAAAGUCAACAAGUCACGUGUCACACCUACAAUAGCCGUUCAAGGGUUCAGAAGAAUAUGAAUGACUAUGCAGGAACAUCCACUGGUGUUCAGUGGACUGUAAGGCAGCAACAGCUCGAUCAGCAAUGAGCCGAGCUAACAAGUGUGUGAGGUGAACUGCUGCCUGUGCUCAUGGUUUGGUCCACGGGCGGAACGCAGGUAAGCGUUAUGUGAAUGUGUGUUUCUAAGGUGGCCGGAAGUGAUCGACCGUGAAAUGUGCUGAAUGCAACACCAACUGUCCUCCAUUCCCUCCAUGCUUCACUAAGUGGUGAGAAGUCAAGCUAUUUGGACGAAAUGCCUUAACCUUGUUAAAAGGUUGAAAGCAGGCCAGGCGAUAAAAAGCCAGUUCAUCAGCAAGGAUCACAUGCUGUCUGGCCCACACCACAGCUUAGUUAUCCGCAGAGGCAGUUCCACAAAAUACUCACAUCUACUGCUUUGUCUGCCCCUUCAGUGGAACAGGCUUUCAAUACUCUGCAGCUAAUGCGAUUAAAGCGCUUGGCCAAGAUGACGCGGAGUUUUCACAUGGUGACACGGGAAGACAUUGAUCCGAAAGCACAACCAACCGCUGGGAAAGCAUGCCGCACGAGAGGGAAAAGCAAGUAUAUCUCAGCGUAAAACACAAAGAUGUGCUGUUACACAGACAAACUCCCAGAAGAGAAGCAAAUAAAGUCGACAUUCUACUCAAGCCGCCUGGAGCAGGGCCACUUCAAUAGGCUCAUGUUCUCGCAGAGUCUAUAUUUAGACAUCUGCCUUUCAAAUGGAGGCCAAAGGAAUGUCCAGGCCUGCCUGGUCUCUGGGGACACUGUCUGCUGAAUUAGAGAGGGCAAAACAAGCCAGCAAGGAGACGUGAAGAACACAGUCCUCUGACUUUCCCACAGCCUUUGACCCUGGGCGCCGACAUGCCAAGCUCCUGUGCGCCCUCUGUUGUCGCCCACUGUACAACUAGCACAGUGGCUGUUCCAGGAACCACAGCAUCUCCUGGGACGCACAACCAUCCAGGCUGAACUCCUUCUACAGUCGAAAUGUAUUUAAGCUUGCGACUCUUCGUCCGUCUCGUCACUUCCACACUGACCAAGCCUCAUGAUGGGGCGCAGCAUGGUGGAGAACGACGCACUUUUACUACCCAUGAGUCAAGAAAGUGUUACUGUUCAAGUUCUUCACAUGGCAGCAGCACUCUCUCACCAGACUGCUCGUUCAUCAUGCGAAUGGCUUUGGCUUUGGCCAGCUCCAGCGCCGUGACCCAUCUCUGCCGCUCCACUUCGGUGCUGGCCUUCAGGUGGUACGUGCGGCCGCCGCUGCUCAGGACAAUGUUGCAGGCGUCCUCUGUGUCGAUGUGCGCAGUGGCCAGGUUGAUUGUUCCACGGCACGUGUGAGCCAUCUCCGCCUGCGUCCUGAAACAAAGAACAAUUCAGCCGACAAAAUUACAUUUGAUACAUUUGAGGAAAGGUACUAUUGAGAAGCACUGGGCUGGUGGGCUCAGCAACGAGCUCUGUGCGCUUCGUGCUUGGUUAUGUCCAGAGGAUGGAACCUGUUUCAAGAAAUGGCCGAAUGACACGGUUUCUCUUGAGGAAAUGCAAUACAUGCGGAGGACUGACUGAUGGUCCAAUUUCGUCCUCUGAGAGAAGUGGCACUCUCUGACCACUGUACAUGGAUUGUUUGAAUGUGAUGUGGAAACUGUAUUUGUGGAAAAUUUGGAUUUAGUUUUUAUUGCCUUUUUGUCUUGUGAUUGUCCUCAUUUAUUAUUUUAUUUAGUUACUCAUUUUUGCUUUAUUUUUGUAUGUAAAAAAAAAAAAAAAAGAUAUGCGGCCUACAUCCAUCAGUCCCAGUCCCCUGGUGUCAGGAAAUAUAUAUCAGAAAUAAAUCAAGGUCCCCUUCACCCACAUA